rnacentral:rRNA from 1 species
GACGUAGGGCGCGAGCGUUGUCCGGAUUUAUUGGGCGUAAAGAGCUCGUAGGCGGCUUGUUGCGUCAGCUGUGAAAACCCGCAGCUCAACUGUGGGCUUGCAGCUGAUACGGGCAGGCUUGAGUUCGGUAGGGGAGACUGGAAUUCCUGGUGUAGCGGUGAAAUGCGUAGAUAUCGGAAGGAACACCAGUGGCGAAAGCGGCUUCCUGGUCCAGCACCGACGUUCAGGCACGAAAGCGUGGGGAGCAAACAGG